AAAAAAGUAUUAUCGGUACGUUUUAUUACAAGGUGUAAAUUUCAUACCCCAUCACUUGACAAUCUAGUUCUCUUUUUUAGUGUUGAGUAUUUUUUGAGAGAUUGGUAGCAUGUUACCCGCUUCGUUUAUUUCAUUUAGAAAUAAACUUAGCUGGAAAUGUGAAUCAACUAGGAUUCGAACUUGGAUCUCGGGUACCAACCACCAAGUCCUUUACCACUUGAUCUAGGGACGGUCGGUUUUAGUGUCAAGUAUUAAAAACACAUAAUAGUAUUAGUGAAUAGU
rnacentral:lncRNA from 1 species